UUAGUUAGCUUUUUUACAUGUUUCAUAUUCUGAUAGAAUGUUCUGUGUUUAUGAACCAGAAUAAUGUUGAUAUUCUGGUAGAUUUGUAAUAUAUGGAAGAAAAAUGUGUCAUGUUUUCUUAUUUUAUUAAGAAACUUGAUAAUACCAUAUGAUUCAUCAAAAAUGUUCUGAAACUUAAAGAAAGAUCACUGUGUAUGGUAUUCUGCAAGAAUGUUCUGUUUAUAUGAUCGUGACCAUGGUUAUUAUUAUGCUAGAAUAAGUAUGCUUGUUUUACUAGUUAAAAUUGUAAAGUAAAUUGCUAUAUUUAAGUUGUUAGUUAGCUUUUUUUACAGGUUUUAAAGUCUAAUGGAAUCACAAUUUGUAUAUGAUUUAGUACAUAAAACUGAAAAAAUCGUAGUCAUUGUAUGUUGAAUAAGGUUACAUGUUUCAUAUUCUGAUAGAAUGUUCUAUGUAUAUGAACCUAAACAAUGUUGAUAUUCUGGUAGAUUUGUAAUAUAAAUUUCUAUAUUUAAGUAGUUAAGUAGUAUUUUAAUCUGAAACUGAAAAAUUGAUAGUUUCUGUUUGUGGAAUAAAGUUACAUGUUUCAUAUUCUAAUAGAAUUUUAUGUGUAUUAGCAUUGUAUACAGAUUUUUAAUUGUAAUGGAAUCACAGUUUGUAUAUAAUUUAGUACCUAAAACUGUAAAAAAUCGUAGUGAUAGGAUGUUGAAUAAGGUUACAUGUUUCAUAUUCUAAUAGAAUGUUCUUAGUAUUUGAACCUAAACGUUGUUGAUAUUUUGGUAGAAUUGUAAUCUAAUUUUUUAUAUUUAAAUAGUUAAUUAGCAUGUUAAACUGAAAAAUUCAUAGUUCUUGUAUGUGGAAUAAGUAUACAUGUUUCAUAUCCUGUUAGAAUAUAAUGUGUAUAAGUCUAGUUGUUUUACUAGUUAACAUUGUAAGAUAUUUUUCUAUAUUGAAGUAGUGUAUUAGCAUUGUAUACAUAUUUUUGAUUGUAUUGGAAUCACAGUUUGUAUAUGAUUUAAUACCUAAAACUGAAAAAAUUGUAGUGAUUGUAUGUUGAAUAAGGUUUCAUGUUUCAUAUUCUAAUAGAAUGUUUUGUGUAUGUCAACCUAAAUAUUGUUAAUAUUCUGGUAGAAUUGUAAUCUAAUUUUUUAUAUUUAAAUAGUUAAUUAGCAUGUUUAAGUGAAAAAUUCAUAGUUCUUGUCUUUGGAAUAAGUAUGCAAAAAACACAUUCUAUUAGAAUGUAAUGUGUAUAAGAACUUGAACAUGGUUGAUAUUCUGAUAG
rnacentral:lncRNA from 1 species